rnacentral:lncRNA from 1 species
GAGAACAUUGUUAACCCAAUCAACAAUGAAUCUGGACUAAACUUGUCACAGAUAAUGGGACUUGCAGCACCUUCACUGAUACUGUGACCACCACUAACAAUGGACCGGGACCAAACUUAGCACAGAGAAGCUCCAUGACCAACUGAACAUACUGCUGGGGUUAAUGGGAAUGGAUCUUGAUUCUGGGAGUUAUAGUUCACCUACAUCCAGAGAAACUGUGACCCCCACUGACAAUGGACUGGGACCAAACUUGACACAAAGAAGCCCCAUGACCAAGUGAACAGGGGUUAGGGGGAAUGGACUUUGAUUUUGGGAGUUAUAGUUUACCUGCAUCUAGAAAGCACUGAACCCAGCUAACGUCAGAUCUGGACCAAACUUGGCACACAGACCCAACAUGGCCAACUGUGCAUACAUGCCUGGCUUGGGGAUGAUUCACCUUGGAUCUGGGAGUUGUAGUUCACCCUUAUCCAGAGAGCCCUGAACCCUGCCAACGAGGGAUCUGGACAGAACUUGGCACACAGACCCAACUUGGCCAACUGCAAAUACUGGCAGGGUUUGAGGAUGAUUACUCUGGGAAUCUGGGAGUUGUAGUUCACCCUUAUCCAGACAGCACUGAACCCAGCCAACGGCGGAUCUGGACCAAACUUCAGUGAUAUUACCUAACAUCCCAAAACAAACAAUGCCUUCUUGCGUCCCAAAGCUAGUAAGGGAUAAAGUACAUUGACAGUAGCCAUGCUGAGUAAGAGAAAGUGUUUAUAGCAAAUAUUUAUAUGCUUCCAAUGCAACAUGUGGUGGUUAGUCCAUUUUCCUUGCAUUGAUAGGUGGAGUAUGAAUGUGUGUACAAAGAUUAAAUAAAUUAGGCUGCAAACAACUACUCAUUUGGAAAACAGUAAACAAGAGGGAUUUUUUUUGUAAAAGGUGGACCGAGCCAUUUCAUUGUCUCCCCCAGUUUUCUGUUGGCUUACACUGAAAAAUGUGGUGGGCACAUAAUAGUUAGACAUACCAUCUUCCGCGAUACAGUUGUUACUAUUUCUUUUGCCUGCUGUUUGUACUUAAAAAUCUUAAAACUAAGCACUGAGGGCUGUUUGGGAUUUAACAUUUCCUGCCAAGGGGGAGAAAAAGUCAUGUGUACAUCCUAGAGUUAUGCCCUUCUAAUCCUUCCAGUCAAAAGACAUGAAGCCCAAAGGGCAACACAUCAGCGGUGAAUUCACCUCUCACCCUCCGCUCCCCUGGCAAACUGCCACAUGUUUUACUGGUGUCAGGACUUUCCCGUGUUGAUUUAUCUGCGUCAGGGAAUGGCGGAAUGGAAUAGGCCAU